rnacentral:misc_RNA from 1 species
ACACACACACACACACACAAGUCAAUCUCUAAGAGAGAAUCGAGUGAGUUCGUUGAAAUUUUUGUGAAAUGUUGCAGAGAUGUCCGUAGGUGUGCACCUUGACAAAAAGAUGCACCUCUUGAACAUUGCCUGCCUUUCGAGGAUUGAGGUGCUAGUGGCUGUGCCUCUUGCACCUUGCAGCUUGGGACCGAGGCAUGCUUUUACAACUAUUUGCCUAUCCUGCAUUACAAAACUUUUCCUAGGCUGGACAGAGAACCAUGCAAAUUCAUCAAGUAGAAUUUCAACCCUAAAACUGCCUCUAAAGCUUGAUCGUUUAUUCUUCACUUUAAAGGAAAUGAAAAAAAAAGGGUCAAUUUUGUAUAUAUAUGCACAUCUGAAUCAACACAGGUUUUCCAAAAGUAGUUACAAUUGAAAUUCUGAACCAUUUAAAGUAUAAUUAUACUUUCUUAUAAAUGGGGGAAAAAAUCUACUAUCCUGCACUCAAGUCUCAUGCUUAUGCUAUAAACUCCUAAUUUAAGAAGGAAAAUGUUGAAUCUGAGCACAAAAUCUUGGUAAGCCAUCUAAUAAACCAAAACGCCACACAACAUAAAAGAAGCAUGCUUAUUCAGCGAAGCAAAAAAAAAAAGUUGUAAAGCAAGAUAAAGGACAAACCAACCUACAAUAAGUGAAUAAGAUUAACAGUACCUCAAGUGCACUUUGCACGGAAC